CCUACGGGAGGCAGCAGUGGGGAAUAUUGCACAAUGGGGGAAACCCUGAUGCAGCGACGCCGCGUGAGUGAGGAAGUAUCUCGGUGUGUAAAGCUCUAUCAGCAGGGAAGUAAAUGCCGGUACCUGACUAAGAAUCCCCGUCUAACUACGUGCCAGCAGCCGCGGUAAUACGCAGGGGGCAAGCGUUAUCCGGAUUUACUGGGUGUAAAGGGAGCGUAGACGGCUAAUCAAGUCAGAAGUGAAAACCCAGGGCUCAACCUUGGGAGUGCUUUUGAAACUGAGUAGCUAGAGUGCAGGAGAGGUAGGCGGAAUUCAUAGUGUAGCGGUGAAAUGCGUAGAUAUUAGGAGGAACACCGGUGGCGAAGGCAGCUUACUGGACUGUAACUGACGUUGAGGCUCGAAAGCGUGGGGAGCAAGCAGGAUUAGAUACCCGAGUAGUC
rnacentral:rRNA from 1 species